AAUUAAAAAAAUUAUUGUGAAUCAAGCUGUGGUCCCCCCCCAAAAAAUAAGUUUCUUUUAAAAUUGUUGACAGGUACUUGAAGGAUUGCUCCAAGCUCACAAGUCUGUCAUUGUUUCUAAAGAAUCAAUAGUGUUGCUAUUUGUACAUGAAUGCACCCGAGUUUUCCAUGAUCGUCUGAUUGAUUCUCCAGAACGGGAAGCUUUCUUUCAAAUUCUAUCAAAUGAGGUCAAUAACUAUUUCAAGAUUCCCUGGACAAAAGAUCAGUUGAUGGAAGAACCACCCCUAUUUGUGGAUUUUCUGGAUUCAAACCAGCCUGUACACAAGAGAGUCUAUAGAAAUGUCACCAACAAGACACAUCUACUUUGGGUCCUAGAAGAACAGUGCAUUAAAAUGCAGGGAGUAAGCCCUCAGGGUAUUUCCAUAGUAUUUUUUAAAGAAGCAAUACAGCAUAUAACAAGGGCAGCCAGAAUUUUUCGACAAAAUGGUAGUCACAUGACAUUGGUAAGGAAAAAUGCUUAUAGUUUCAUUCUUAAUUAUAAUAUGUAA
rnacentral:lncRNA from 1 species